rnacentral:lncRNA from 1 species
ACGACUGGAAUCACACAUACACUGCCACAAGAGGUCUGCAGUGAAGGUCCCAAAGUCCCAGACAACGGAGUCUCUCUCUGUCGCCCAGGGUAGAGUGCAGUGGUGCAAUCCUGGCUCACUGCAACCUCUGCCUCCCAGGUUCAAGUGAUUCUCCUGCCUCAGCUUCCCAAGUAGCUGGGACUACAGGCGUGUGCCACCACGACCAGGAUCUUUCUGCUGAUGCAGCUGUUAAGAGUGUUUCAUAAACUGUGACAACACUAAGCAAAAUCAUAGAAGGAAACUCUAUGGACAAUUUCAGAUGGAGAAGAAGAAAGGACUGGAAGUUCAAUUUGGCCAUGACAAUUAGACUUGAAGAAGCUGAGUGAGAAGGCCAUGCAGAUAUCUUGGAGAAGUGCAUUCCAGGCAGAGGAAAAGCCAGUGCAGAGACACUGAAGCAGGGCAUGACUGAUGUGUAUAAGGAGCAUCAUAUACAUGAUCAUCUACAGUCCACUGAGGAGAAUAGCAGACGAGAGGCCAGGUGCAGUGCAUGUAAUCCCAGCACUUUGGGAGACUGAGAUGGGAAGAUCGCUUGAGGCCAGGAGUGCAAGACCAGCCUGGGCAACACAGCAAGACCUUGAUUCUACUAAAAAAAAAAAAGGAUCCUUCAACUUCAACAAUAAUAACACAAGGGAAGUGAAGAAAAACACUUUCUAAGGAAAUCUCUCUCUGAGCUACCAUCCUGCUAGGGAGAGCCUGAAAGCAGAAUGCUGACUUGACUAGCUCUGGUCAAUGAAAGAAAUCACCAGUGGAAAGGCUACCAGGGGGCUUUCUCAAAAGAGAGGGACAGU